AACAUUUGUUCCGUUCAUAACAACAUUCACAAAAUUGUCGAUCGUCAUUCUUAUGACAAGUUUUCAAACUAAUCUGGUGUUUAGCAAUCGUGAAAAUUUAAAAGAGUGGGUGCAAGAAAUGACAAUCUCAUGGAUAUGUGGUUGUUACUAAAAUAAUAAAGACAAAAGGAAGUGGAUAUGUUUCAAAAAUUAUUUUUUUGUGUGAUCGGGGUGGUGUACCUAGAGGUCCGGAGACAUCCACCAAAAGUAUAGGGUCCAGAAAACAAAUUGUCCAUUCAAAAUUUUGCUUGUUACUGUAAGUCGGAUGAUGUUUGGAUGUUAAUGGUUAAAAACGAUGAACAUAGUCAUGAACCUGCAAUGUAUAUGCAGGUCCACCCAUAUACAAGGCGGUUAACCCCAGAUGAAUAAAAACGAUUGAAGAAAUGAAGAUAAAAAAUGUCCCCUCACAUGAUAUUCUAUCGACACUGAAGAGACAAAAUUCCAAAAAUGUUUCUACAAUAAAAACAGUUUAUAAUGAGUGUUACAAAUUUCAAAUGAAUGAUCUUGGAGACCGAAGUCAAAUGCAAGUUGUCUUCGGAUUUUUGCAUUCAAAAGCAUAUAUAUUUAACCAUCGUGCAAAUGAUACAACCAAUGCCUUGGAAGAUCUAUUCUUUGUUCACCCAACAACAUUGGAGAUAUGGCGUGCAUUUCCAAUGUCAACGUUACUGGUGAUGCUAAUUUUGACGUAAGCUUGAUUUAAUCAAUGUCAACGUUACUGAUGAUGCUAAUUUUGGUUUCGAAGAGGGUGUGGAAUUGUUAAAAGAAAGCUAUUCUUUAAUAUAUUAAUUUGUAUAA